UGGGGUUCUGGGGUUGUUCUUCCAUUCUUUGUCCACCAGAGGGGGCUGAGAGGCGUUUUCUCCUGGAGGGUGUGUCCAUGCUGAUAAUGCACGCACCUGCAGCAUAUCCCUCAUCAGUGGAGGGGUAUAUCAGCAGGGAGCUGCCGGCACUUCGACGCCAGAUUGUUGAUCAGUAAUGAUUAUCCCUGUGCUGAAAGAGGCGUGGGCACCGUUUUCCAAAGACAUCUGAUCCAACUCAUCCAAGUCCUCCAGCCGGCAAGCUGCACCUGUCCCAGCUCCUCCGAAGACCCAACCUACCUGUCCGCCCUCCUCCGCCUCCAACUCAGACCGCCGAUCCCGGAGCCUCUUAUUCCUCCCCUUCAAGAUCUGGACCCACUCCUAUAAGUAAGAUCACACAUCUCCGUUAAACACUUCAAACUCCCACUGAACUUGAACUCACCAUUCUGUGUUUUUGUCCGCACCCCAGAUCCCCUGAGACCCAGACAGGCAGUUCUCCGCUCCUGAACCUUUUUUCAUUGUCAGUUUUGUUUUUGCAAUAAAUAUAAGAAACCUUUUUCUA